GACGGAGGGUGCUAGCGUUGUUCGGAAUUACUGGGCGUAAAGGGCUCGUAGGCGGCCAUCUAAGUCAGACGUGAAAUCCCCCGGCUUAACCUGGGAACUGCGUCUGAUACUGGAAGGCUUGAGUAUGGGAGAGGGAUGUAGAAUUCCAGGUGUAGCGGUGAAAUGCGUAGAUAUCUGGAGGAAUACCGGUGGCGAAGGCGGCAUCCUGGACCAUUACUGACGCUGAGGCGCGAAAGCUAGGGGAGCAAACGGG
rnacentral:rRNA from 1 species